CCCUAAGAGUGUACUAUCACGUUGGACUAGUUUUAGGGCCUAAAAACUACGAAAUCUCACCUUGCAAAAACCAAAGAUUUCGGCCAAACUUGAAACCUACGAUCCCGACGUCCAAAACUCUCCAACGAAUGUCCCCGAGCUUCCUUAGGACCUCCUAAAGCUCACCACAAGCUUGAAACCUCCUGAAACACAACAUUUUACGUUCGCAUGAACAGUACCUCGAAAAUGGAGGUUCGGGAUCUACGUGAAAUCAAAGGUUUCACUUCCUAAAACUAGCACCAAUGAACUCAGGACGUCAAAACGAUGAAGAUACAUACCUUAUUUGCCCCGAUCCGUUGAGUUUCGAAGGGUUUUGGGUGAAGGUCCGUACGAUAUGGGUGUGUGUGUGUGAAGUCGAGAGAGAGAGACAGAGACAGGGAAAGCACAGGGAAAGGAGAGGGAGAGAGGAAGGUCAUGUGUGGUCCAAAUUAAUCCACACCCUCCAUUUCAUCCUAACCAAACAUACCAAAAAUCAAUUUCCAAUAAAAUCCCAUCCAACCAAUGCUAUUUUCAAAAUAACGCUAUGUACCUACGUACCUUAAUGUCCAAUAAGGGCAAUUCUGUCAUUUCACAUUCCCGUCAAAAGUACCUCCGGGACGGGCUGUGACAAUCUCCCCUCCUUAUAGAAUUUCGUCCCCGAAAUUCCCAUAACCAAAUAAAUCAAUUAAUACUCGUAAAAUAACCUUGGGUACACCUCUCUCAUCCGGUCUUCCGUCUCCCAAGUAGCUUCCUCUGCAGAAUGGUUCCUCCACAACACCUUGACCAAACUCACCGUCUUGUUCCUUAGAACCUUAUCUUUCCAAUCCAAGAUAGUGACCGGUUCCUCAUCAUACGUCAAAUCCGGAUUAAUCUCUAACGGUUGAGGAGGGAUCACAUGAGAAGGAUCAGAAAUAUAAUGCCGAAGCAUAGAGACGUGGAACACAUUAUGGACCUUAGACAACUCCGGAGGCAAUUCCAACCGGUAGGCAACUUCACCAACUCUUUCAAUGAUCACAUAAGGUCCAAUAUAUCUCGGACUUAGCUUCCCUCUUUUCCCAAAUCGUACCACACCUCUCCAAGGCGACAAUUUCAAGAAUACCCAAUCACCCACAUCAUACACUCGAUCAGUAGUAUGCCGAUCCGCUAAACUCUUAUGUCGAUCCUGGGCUGCUUUCAGGUUUGACUUAAUUACCUGAACAUUUUGAGUCAUCUCAUCCACGAUCUCGGGGUCUUCUAAUACCCGUUCACCAACCUCAGACCAACAUAAUGGCGUUCGACACGCCCUACCAUAAAGUGCCUCGAAUGGGGACAUACCAAUGCUCGAGUGAAAACUGUUAUUAUAAGCAAACUCCAUUAAGUCCAGACGAUCAUGCCAAGAAUCACCAAAUUGUAAUACCGAAGAUCUCAACAUAUCUUCCAACGUCUGAAUGGUCCUCUCUGAUUGCCCAUCAGUUUGAGGAUGAUAAGCUGUGCUAUACAGUAAUUGAGUACCCAGAGCUUCCUGAAAAGCCACCCAAAAUUUAGAAGUAAACCUCGGGUCUCGAUCGGAGAUAAUAUUUACUGGGACUCCCAUGAUACUUGACAAUCUUCGAAAUAAACAACUUAGCCAAUUUAUUCAGAGGGUAUUUCUCCCUCACUGGAAUGAAAUGCGCCGACUUGGUGAGUCGAUCCACAAUCACCCAAAUACCAUCAAAUCCAUUUCGCGUACGAGGAAGUUUAUACACGAAAUCCAUGGUUAUAUUUUCCCAUUUCCACUGGGGAACAGGAAGGGGUUGCAUUCGCCCAAAGGGCUUCUUCCUUUCUGCUUUCACUUGCUGGCAAAUAAUACACCUGCUCACAUAUUCUGCAAUUUCUCUUUUCAUACCCGGCCAAUAAUAAAAUGGUCGAAUGGUAUGAUACAUUUUUGUUCCUCCCGGAUGCAUCGCAUAAGCUGAACAAUGUGCUUCAUCCAAAAUUUCCUUCUUCAAUUCCUCAUUAUUCGGAACAUACAUUCUGUCUUCUUGCAUGAGCAUACCAUCUGAUUCCCGAAUUCUGAGGUCUUUCUUUUUUCCCUUCACUUCUUAACUGAACCAACUCCUGAAUUUCUUCAUCCACCAUUUGAGAUGCAAGUAUACGCUCCACCAAAACUGGCCUGACUUGAAAACUAGCAAGAAAUGCUCCACCUUGAUUCUCCCACUCCAAUCUUACUCCAGUUGCCCUCAGUUCAGCAAGAAGAGGAACACGACUAGCAUAUAGGGCAUUAAGUCUACCUUGUGGUUUCCUACUCAGUGCAUCCGCUACUACAUUAGCACGACCUGGAUGGUAUUCAAUAGAACAAUCAUAAUCACUUAGCAAUUCCAUCCACCUUCGCUGACGAAGAUUAAGAUCAUGCUGGGUGAAUAAGUACUGAAGACUCUUAUGAUCAGUGAAGAUCUUACACUUCUCACCAUACAAAUAAUGUCUCCAAAUUUUCAAAGCAAAAACAAUUGCUGCCAAUUCAAGAUCGUGAGUAGGAUAGUUCCUUUCAUGAUUUUUCAACUGCCUAGAAGCAUAGGCAAUCACCUUAUUAUGCUGCAUCAAAACACAUCCCAAACCAUUUAAUGAAGCAUCACUAUAUAUCUCAAAAUUACCGCUAUCGUCGGGAAGUACCAACACCGGUGCAUGAGUGAGGCAAUACUUCAAUUGUUGAAAACUCCGCUCACAAUUCUCAUCCCACUCAAAUUUAACAUCCUUCCUGGUCAACUUUGUCAACGGUAAAGCAAUCAUAGAGAAAUCCUGAACGAACCGUCGAUAAUAACCUGCUAAGCCAAGAAAGCUUCGUACCUCCGUGACGGUUCGAGGUUGCUCCCAAUUCUCCACUGCUGCAAUCUUUUGAGGAUCAACUUGAAUACCUUGAGCUGAUACAACAUGCCCCAAAAAUGCCACUUCAGUCAACCAAAACUGACAUUUACUGAACUUGGCAUACAACUGAUGCUCCCUUAAUUUCCCUUAACACCAAAUUAAGGUGUCGGAUAUGAUCUGCUUGGGACUUAGAGUAUACCAGAAUAUCGUCAAUAAAAACAAUAACGAAUUUAUCAAGAUAUUUCUGGAAUACCUCAUUCAUUAAUCUCAUAAAAGCUGCAGGUGCAUUAGUCAACCCAAACGGCAUAACCGAAAAUUCAUAAUGUCCGUACCGAGUUCGGAAAGCCGUCUUAGGUACAUCAUCUUCUUUAAUCUUCAAUUGAUAAUAUCCAGAUCUCAAAUCAAUCUUAGAAAAUACACAUGCACCUUUCAGCUGAUCGAACAAAUCAUCAAUGCGAGGCAAUGGAUAACGGUUUUUAAUCGUUACCCGGUUCAAUUGUCUAUAAUCAAUACACAAUCGAAAAGUUCCAUCCUUCUUUCUCACAAAUAAUACUGGGGCACCCCAAGGUGAAGAACUAGGUUGAAUAAAACCUUUAUCAAGUAAUUCUUGCAACUGGAUUUUUAAUUCCCUCAACUCAGCAGGAGCCAUUCUAUAAGGAGUCAGAGAUAUAGGGUCCGUACCUGGAAGCAAAUCAAUAGAGAAUUCCACCUCCCUGUCUGGUGGUAAUCCCGGCAAAUCAUCAGGGAAUACAUCCGGAUAAUGUCUGACCACACCAACUUCUUCCAUACUAGUAGGAGCAACAUCAUUUAAUACCACAUGUGCCAAAUAUCCCUGACAACCAUUCGAUAAUAAUUUCCUCGCCCUUAUGGCAGAAAUAACUCCAUGUCUCACCCCACUUCUCUCGCCCACAAAAGUAACCUCGGGUAAUCCAGGACGAUAAAAAGUAACUGAUUUACCAUAACAAUCAAUAUGGGCACGAUUAUGGUGUAACCAAUCGGCCCCUAAAAUCACAUCAAAAUCCACAAUAUCUAACGGAAUAAGAUCAGCGGACAUAAUCACGCCCUCAACCAUCACUGGACACCCCAGAUACACACUAUCCACAUAACAUUUAUCUCCUCUAGGCAUGGCAAACUCUAAAUCAAAUCCUAGAGGUGAAGGGUGAGGUUGGGUUAUUUGAGCAAACGUAUGAGAAAUCACAGAGUGCGUAGCACCACAAUCAAUCAAAACCUUAGCAAAAUGACCAAGAACAUUUAACGUACCCAUAAUCAAGUCUGGAUGGUUCUGAGCCUCCUGCAAGGAAAUAUGAUUAAUUCGCCCCUGAGCCUGCUGUCGUCCACCUCGGCCUCUAUUGCCCUGAUUACCUCGUCCCCGAGGAUUACGUCCCUGGCCUGGCUGACUAGGCUGCCUGGAUGAUCCUGCACCACCAGUAGCAACUUCCCCCUGACGGGGCUGGCCUCCCUGAUGCCACUGCGAUCCACCAGCUGGCAUAGAGGAAUAAGAUGAAUAACCUCCAAAAUCCUGAGAAUAUCCAGCCUGAGAGUAAGGCUCCUGGGAAUACUGAUAAGGUCCGGGAGCAUACGGAGCAGCAUCCCCCUGAUAGUGGUAAGCACCACCACGACUCGGCUGGCCAUAACCACCCGGUCCCAAAUUCUGCUGAACUGGUGCUGGAGGUGGUAUAGUGGUCUGCUGUGGUCUCUGUUGACCCUGGGGGCACUGAGAAACCCGAUGUCCCAUCUGCCCACACGUAAAGCAGGCACCAGUACCUCUCCUACACUCACCAUGGUGACGGAAGUUACAACGGCGGCACCAUGGAGCGCCAGAUCCACCAGCAUCCCUCUGACCCUGAAAUCUGGGUCCACCAGAAAAUCUUCCACCACCUCUCCUCGGGCUAGUAAAACUAUAUCCCCCACUAGAAGAGCUCGAACUCACUCCACUCUUCUUAAAAUUCUGAGUCUGUCGAGGUCCAGGAAUAGAAAUACCCUUACCUUUGUCAUUCUUCUUCUGACCCUCAUUCUUGUCCUCGUCAUCCUCACUGUCAGGAAGAUUAUCAGAGUCCUCCAUCCUAACCAGAAUCUCGAAAUACUCAUGAUAAUCAGCGCAGGGGAGUGCAUUGGCAAAGGUACGCCACUUCUUCUUAGAUCCCAACUUGAAACGUCGAAGCAUCUCUCCCUGAUUACCAGCUGUAUCAGUGUCAUAACGAGACAAAUCAGUAAACUUUCUAUAAUACUCAUGUGCCGACAUAUUUCUCUAUUUCAACCUGGUGAAUUCCUGCUUCUUACGGUCAAUAUACUCAGGAGGAACGAAUCUCUUCAUAAAAUGCUCCUUGAAUACUUUCCAGUCGGCUGCCGUCUCAGGUGACAUGUACCUAGCCUGAUUCAUCCACCAUGCUGCUGGUUCACGACCCAGAAACCAAGUGGUGGUCUCCACCCACCUAUUAGCAGGGAGAUUCCCCUGACUCUGCAUCACCUGGAAGGUUUUCUCAAUAUGAUCAAGCCAUUUCUCUGCCCCCUCAUGACUUUCAUUACCCAUAAACCGAUCUAACUUCAAGUUGUACAUGGUCUCCAGAGGUGUCCUCGGAGGAGGGGGAGGACGAAUCACAUUCUGUAAAGCCUGGGCCAUCGCUUCCCCUAACUGAGUAAUAUCCGGGAAAUUAGGUUCAGAAGUACGGCGGGACUCUCUACGCUCUCUACGAGGCGGCAUGAUUCUGACAGAAAACAUCAAAAGAUCGUUAAGACAUUAACAAAUUUACAGGACUGCAACCUAGGCUCUGAUACCAAACUGACACACCCUGAUCCGGAGGAUCCAGGUGUGCUGGCCGUCACGUGGGCGUGACGUAACCAUAAGCACGACACGGAAGCGUAAUAACAACAUAUAACAACAGAAAUUCAAACCAAACUUAACAUAACCACAUACGGACAUAACCGGACGAGUUUACAAGUAACCACAUAAGUUCAGAGCAUAGGUUAUCUGCAGUCAAGUAGGACUAAAAUAAGAAUACAUCACCCUCAGGUGAGUCCUACAUGUCCCAAAUCUGUCAGAAAGCCGGAAAGGACCUCGUGAGCCAACCACCGCUAAACUAGAACCUGGAGGGGCGCAAAACAAAAUGAGUGGGUCAGUAAAACAAAUUAGUUUUCCAAAACAUUUCAUUAAAACAAUUAUAUCCCCUCGCCGUAAAAACCUGUAUACUUUCCCAGAAAUAUAUAACCAUAUAAAAUCUCAACAUUUAAAAUCUCAAAUCUUUAACAUUUUCAAGAAACAUGCCAUGCCAUAAAUCAAAAUAUAAAUCAGGUGAAAUAAGGAAUCAAUCGGAGACCCUGCAGUUGGUCCUAUACGAUUAAUUCAAUAGCUCAAAUCCCACUAAGCCGGAGUCACCACAGUGACCUAUACGGCCCUACUCUGCACAUCACUCGGAACUACGUAAGGUAGUCUAUACGAUGAAAGGUGUAAAAAUACGCUCUAGUGCUUCUCUCAUCAUAUCAUCAGCGCGCAUAACUAAGGUCACCCACUAGUCGGAAUCACGCCUAGUGAUCUGUACGACUAGCAUGUCGGAACCCUCACAUGGUCUGUACGACAUCCACCUACUUGGAUCCAAGGCGAGCGUGCGGUGUGGUGAAUAAAAUAAGCACUAACACCUAGGGUGCAGAUUAUGAGCUCAAAUUAUAUCAACAUCAACCAAUUCAAUGCAUAAAUGAACUCACCUGACUUACCUUUGCCUCCACAGCACCAUGCAAUAUGUAUGCAUCAUAUAUCAAUCAUAUAAUUCAUAAACCAAUCCAUGAUUUUCAAAUAAUUCUAUGCAUGGCAUGUUCAAAACAUAUUUUCAUAUAAAACAUUUUCUGGGAAAAACAGUAGUAUAUAGGUAAUACGAAAACAAAACUGCCCACUCACUGAUAAGUCGACGGGUCGUAACCCCCGUGGCGUCCCUGGAUGCGGUCGUCCUCGGGAUACGUCUCACCUAUAUGCGAAACAACUAUAAAAUCAUUAAUUUUAAGCAUAUCACCAAUAAUUCGAAAUAACUUCUCAUACGAUGCUCAAUUUUGGUAUAUGAAUAUACCACAUCGACCUACUCGACGUCACGAGCGUCGAGAAAUUUUCAGAAAAAAUUUUGGAAGCCCCACGCCCCCACGCGCCACACGUGGCACGGGUCCACGCGCUGGCCACGCGCAGCACGUGCAGCGCACGUGUCGUCUUCUUCGCAGGGCCUCGCCGGACUGGUUCUCCGGUGGCCGGACUCCGGCCGAACUCCGGCCGAUUUUCAAACUCACUGUUCUCCUUCGUUUUUUCACCCAUUUUCUUCGUAUUUUAUACCAAAUUGAAGCCCUAAGAGUGUACUAUCACGUUGGACUAGUUUUAGGGCCUAAAAACUACGAAAUCUCACCUUGCAAAAACCAAAGAUUUCGGCCAAACUUGAAACCUACGAUCCCGACGUCCAAAACUCUCCAACGAAUGUCCCCGAGCUUCCUUAGGACCUCCUAAAGCUCACCACAAGCUUGAAACCUCCUGAAACACAACAUUUUACGUUCGCAUGAACAGUACCUCGAAAAUGGAGGUUCGGGAUCUACAUGAAAU
rnacentral:lncRNA from 1 species